rnacentral:tRNA from 1 species
GGCUUUGAGUAUAUAUUACGUUGAAUUGCAAAUUCAUAGAAGUGGUUGUAGAGAUCGCCAAGGCU